GGUUCCGGCGGGCGCUCGGCUUGCGGCCCGCUCCGCCGGCUGGUGAGUGCCCGCGGGGCGGGCGGGGCAGCGGCAGCGAUGGCGGUACUGAGCAGCCCCAGGGAGCAGCUCGAGGCGGCGGCCGCCCCUGGGAAGGAACAGCGAGGGGAGUGGCGGCGGUGGCGCCACCAGCGCGGAGCGCGCUUUGUUCCUUGGUGGCUGGCGUGGUGAUGCGCAGCUGGGGUUUCGUUCUCUAGGGGCCCGGAUGGCCCCUGUGGCCGCUGGAGUGCCGCUUCCUGACCCAGAGGUUGCCCUAGGCAAUGGCAGAGCCCGCCGGCGGCGCCAGCGGGAGCUUGGCACUGUCUCCCAGAGUGCAGAGGAAUCCAUAGAAGGCUGGAGAAGCCGCGUGGUUGGUUGGGCAAGUAAAACAUGAAUAGCAUAAAACAUAAAGAGGAGAUAGAUAAAGCAUAAGCUGUUAUUAGGAAAGAGAAAAAUAACUGUCCUUACUGAUUUUUACAAGCGCACACCGGCAGUAGAUACAAGUGUGGAAAGGACACGGACAAGGCCUGCUGUGCAGGCUGCCACAGGUGGGGCACAGCCUGCCGCAGCAACUGCAUAUAUUACUUCCUGGACUUGUGUAGAACACAAGCACAGCCAGCCCUGUCCUUUUUCUUACGCACAGUCAGUAUGGACUAAGGUUCGCAAAAUCAGACGUGAAUUCACAGAUGCCCAAAGUACCAGCGCAGCCCUUCUGUUCAUGUGAUAACCCUGCCCCAUAUCCCGAGCCAUUUACUCAUUCCCACGCACCAGCUGGUCCUGCUUCUUGCUCAAGAACAAAUGCAUGCUCUGGUACUUCCCAACAGGUACGCCACUCCUAAACAUCUCCCUAGGUAGCAGCAAGGGCCUUCCCUUCAUCACCUGCCUGGAGCCAGAGCCUGCUCCUCACCAGGUAGUCCACCUUGAAGUUUGCUCAAGAGUUACAUCCCUGCCCCCAGUAAUUUUCCCUGGUGUUCAGGCAGAUGCAUCCUCUCUGGUGUCCACAGCAGCAGCAGCAGGCAUGUGGGCCGUGACCUGCAGUCCUGCUUUGUGUGUGGGUGCCAAAACUCACUCAUUUUACUUGCCUCAGUUCCCCAGUAGGUGCACCUGGGGCACACGUACCCAUCCUGCCCCAGUGACUGGAGCCACACUGGCACCUGCACCCUUUGCUGGCCUCAGGGCCAUUACCCACUCCCAUUUCUGGCAUAAUGGGAGGGAUUUGUAUCUCAAAUAGUUGUACUCUGUCAACUUGAUAAAUGCUGUGUGCAUGUGUCAGCUCUUAGGCAAGAUGGUACCCACUUGGAUAGUUCAUCUCUGGGUCAUGGAAAUAUAAUGGGUAUACUUGAAAGGCAUUCCAGGCUCUUCACAGGGGUUUAUAAUUUCUGAGCUGAAAAAAAGCAAUUUUAGAAGUAAAAUGGAUCUGGUUUGAGGUGCUGGUUUUCUACACAGCUGUGAAGAGCAGAACUCAUGUGGCUCCUCUGCCACUGCCCACAUGGAUUGGCAACACUUCAUCCCACCUUCUUCUUGAAGCUGGGGAAAAAUAUUUCUUUGGUGAUCCUGGCCCUCCUUCUUCCACCAUCAGAGCCUUUGGGGUCCCUUGGUCAUCAGCAGGAAUUUUCCCUGCCAGCAGCUUUGUGGGAAUAAGAGUGUGGAGAGGUCUCAUGUCUUCCUAAGCAGCAGCCACAGCACUGGCAGUGCCCACGCUGUUGAUACACGUGGGAUCUGCAGUCCCUGAAGAGGGACAACCCCCAGCCAUCUUUCUGGUGUGCCCUGGCACCUCAGACAAUGCUCCCUCAGGCACAGCAGCAACAGCUCCUGUGGGAAAGAAGGUCAGUGGAAGGUUCAGAUUGUUCAAUUCCUGAGUUUGCUCAGCAUCCCCCAUCUUAGCUAGAUCACCCUGUAAAUACAUGAAAAUUGUCAUAGACCUUUAGUAGUGCUUCUCUAACGGUUUCUGUGCUGAUGGGCUCUCUGCCUUUCUGCUGACUUUCUCUGAGCCAAAGCUGACUGACUGGAUCAUUCUUCACUGUCCACACCAGAAGACAGUGAAGAAGAGCUCAGCUUCAGCCCUUCAGCCCAUGUCCGCACUGUGGUGUUGAAGCCUCCACCAGCUUGCAGUUAUUCUCUCCUUUCCCUGACUAGCUGGGAAUCUCCAGCAGCAUGACACCAAGAGCAGGAGUUAGAAAUUUCUUAAUCUCUGACCACUAGCCUGUCCCAGGCUGGGUCCUCUUCAGUGAUAUCUCCUCAAGCUUUGUUUUAGAUUCUGCCACUGCUGUGCACCUGCCGCUGCACACGGGCAGGUAGUGGUCAGUUCAGGGCUGUGGCCGGCUCUGCUGCAAACCUUCCAAGUGUCACUUUGCAGUCAGCUCAAUGGAACUAUCUCUUUUUUGGCUUUGUUCCUUCUGAGUCUUUGUGGUCACGUUGAGAUGCUUUACUUCAGAGCUGCCACGAGAUGGCAAAAUACUCCUCGGCAUCCCCUCCAAGCUAGCUUGCCUGCACCGCAGGCUGGAGCCGUGCAGGACUAUGGGGAAGGAGCAGCAGCAACAGCAGCUGAAUUUCUCUCCCUUCAUCUUAGCCUGCUGCUCGGUGUGCAUGCUCGGGUAUGCUUCUCUAAAAAUCUCCAAAUGACCAAGACCUGUCCAUUUUGUCUUGUCCCUGAAGUCCAAGGCAGAGACUAUGACUGCUCACAAGAGAGAGGAAACACUUGAUAAUGUCCCUGCUGAUGACAAGGACCUUGCACAGUGACAGCAAACUAAGGCAGAAGGAGGCCUUUCUCUUUUUAUGACAUGGCCUCAGCUAACUGAGAAACCUGUGUGAUGUUUCUGUUUAUAUUAAAAGAACUGAGAGCCUCACUCAAGAGCUUUUAUUUCUCUAGCCUGUCUUGACUAUUCACUGUAUCCUCUCUUUUGUACUGGUAUCACAGCUCAAUGCUAGAGUAAAUGUCAAGGGUCCUAGAAACAUCUCCAGUUCCACAUCCUGAUGCUGAUCUGAAGUCAUGUCAGCAUGAUGGCAGAAGCAAGAAGCCACUUUUACCUCCCCCGUAAGACAGAAGUGGGAUUAAAGGCCCCAUAGAGAUUUAGAAAAUACCUCCUUCUAGUCCAGUGGGAAGGUCCUGGUUUUGGCUGGGGUAGGGCUAAUUUUCUUCAUACUAUCAGACUGUGAUUUGAACUUGUGCUGAAAACAGGGCUGAUAACAUAAGGAUGGUUUUUUUUCCUGCUGAACCAAGGCCUUUGCUGCUCCUCACCCACGCCACCAGUGAGGAUGCUGAGGAUGUACAAGGAAUUGUGAGGAGACACAGCUGGGACAGCUGACCCCAAAUGAUCCAAGGGAUAUCCCAGUCCUAUACCUUAUGGUGCCACGCUUAGCAUAUAAAUCUGGGAGAGGAAGAAGGAAGGGCAGGAAGUUCAGUGUCUUGGCAUUUGUCUUCCCAAGUCAUCCUUACACAGGAUGGGGCACUGCUCUCCUGGCGAUGGCUGAACACCUGGCUGCCUAUGGGAAACAAUGAAUGAAUUUCUUAUUUUGCUUAGCUUCUUUGUGUGCUUUUACUUUCCCUAUUAAACUGUCUUUAUCUCAACCCAGGAGUUUUUUCACUUUUACCGUUCCAGUUCUCUUCUUCAUCCCUCCACAGAGGAGUGAGCAAGUAGUUAUGGGGUGAUUAGUUGCUAGUUGGGGUUAAACCACAACAGUCCUUCUUUGGACCCAAUGUGGGGCUCAAAAAACUCAGAUAAUGAUAGACUUGAUUGGAAUGUGGUCGAUGAAACUCUCAGCUGUUAUGGUUGUUAAAUUAUUAAUCAGCAGGCUCCAGUACUUGCCCGCAGGGGUCACUUGCCUGAUGCAUAUUGCAAUCCAGUGCUUGUUGGUGGCUGUUUGCUGUAGUGCUGUGCUUCUUAUCUCACUCUGCUGUGCCUGGGAACAUUUUGAUAACAGCCACGAUGCGCCUGGGCUGGCAAGUGGCCAGGGCAUUGCAGCUGUCUGCUUCUGCACUGGACAGGUUGGAAUUCCAGUAUGAACUUGAGCCAAAGGGACUGUGACCAGUGGAUGAGUCCACACUACAGGGGAACAGUGUGAGAGGCCCUUACCCUGAAGAAGAAGGAGAGGCAGGAGGUGGGCCAGGUGAUGAAGCAGAGAUUCCCCUGCAGCCUGUGGUGAAGCUAUGGUCAGACAGGCUGUCCUUCUGCAUCCCAUGGAAGUCCGUGGUGGACCCUGUAAUGGCUAUUGCACGAACCCCUGUUUCUAGCCAGACUAGAAGCAAGGGUUCCCACAGAGCCAAGGCCUUUGUUGCUCCUCACCCACACCAUCAGGGAGGAGGCUGGGGGUACAGAAGGAGUUGGGUGAAGACAGGACACUGUCAGGACAGCUGGCCUCAGUGGACUCAAGGGGUGUCCCACACCCUGUGGCAUCAUGCUCGAUAUAUAAAGCUGGGUGAAGAAGAAGGAAUCACGGGAGAGGUUUUUGUCUUCUGAAGUUACUGUUAUGUGUGAUGGAGAUGGCUGAACACCUGCCUGCUCUGGGAAGCGCUGAAGGAAUUCUUUGUUUUGUUUUUCUUGUUUAUGUGUCUUUUGCUUUACCUAUUAGGCUGUAAUUAUAUCAGCCCAUAAGGUUUUUCACUUCUGCUUUUCUCCCUGAUCUUGCUGGAGAGGGAGUGAGCAAGCAGCUGCAUAGUACUUAGUUGCCUGAUGGGUUUAAACCACACCUAUGAAGUUUCAAAGCCAGUUAUCUCAAUUUUUAAUACACUGAUUUACCUCUCUCUGAAAAAGCUGUCUAUGAAGCUGUUCACUGACAGUGUUAUAUAUUCCACCUCUCCUUUUUUUUAAAACUCUUUGUUUAGCUUCUGCUUGUGUGCUUGCUCAUAGAAGUCAAGAAACACAUAGGAACCCCCUCAGCCUGCUUCUGGGAUUUAAUAAGAAGGGCUUUGUCUCAGUGUUCAGUAUCCACCGUCUUCUCACCCAGGAAGAUGCAGUUCAGAGCAGAAAGCUUGUGUUUCCUGUCACAUUCAAAAUGAUGCAGCAAAUAACUAUGUUUAGGGAGCAUUAACCAUUCAGAUGACAUCACCAGAGAUGGCUAAAGGAAUAUAUGCAUAAUGCUGAUGAAAUCUCCCUCAGAUCUUCUUUUUAAUCCUCUUUAAUAAAGCAUAGCUUAUCUAUCAGA